UACGUAGGGUGCGAGCGUUAAUCGGAAUUACUGGGCGUAAAGCGUGCGCAGGCGGUGAUGUAAGACAGUUGUGAAAUCCCCGGGCUCAACCUGGGAACUGCAUCUGUGACUGCAUCGCUGGAGUGCGGCAGAGGGGGAUGGAAUUCCGCGUGUAGCAGUGAAAUGCGUAGAUAUGCGGAGGAAUACCGAUGGCGAAGACAGGUCUCUGGGCUGACACUGACGCUCAUGCACGAAAGCGUGGGGAGCAAACAGG
rnacentral:rRNA from 1 species